rnacentral:rRNA from 1 species
UACGUAGGUCCCGAGCGUUGUCCAGAUUUAUUGGGCGUAAAGCGAGCGCAGGUGGUUUAUUAAGUCUGGUGUAAAAGGCAGUGGCUCAACCAUUGUAUGCAUUGGAAACUGGUAGACUUGAGUGCAGGAGAGGAGAGUGGAAUUCCAUGUGUAGCGGUGAAAUGCGUAGAUAUAUGGAGGAACACCGGUGGCGAAAGCGGCUCUCUGGCCUGUAACUGACACUGAGGCUCGAAAGCGUGGGAAGCAAACAGG